UACGGAGGAUGCGAGCGUUAUCCGGAUUUAUUGGGUGUAAAGGGUGCGUAGACGGGAAUUUAAGUUAGUUGUGAAAUCCCUCGGCUUAACUGAGGAACUGCAACUAAAACUGAAUUUCUUGAGUGCGGGAGAGGAAAGUGGAAUUCCUAGUGUAGCGGUGAAAUGCGUAGAUAUUAGGAAGAACACCGGUGGCGAAGGCGACUUUCUGGACUGUAACUGACGCUGAGGCACGAAAGCGUGGGGAUCAAACAGG
rnacentral:rRNA from 1 species